rnacentral:rRNA from 1 species
UACGUAGGCAGCAAGCGUUGUUCGGAGUUACUGGGCGUAAAGGGUGUGUAGGCGGUUCUUUAAGUUUGGUGUGAAAUCUCCCGGCUCAACCGGGAGGGUGCGCCGAAUACUGAGGGACUAGAGUGCGGGAGAGGAAAGUGGAAUUCCUGGUGUAGCGGUGAAAUGCGUAGAUAUCAGGAGGAACACCGGUGGUGUAGACGGCUUUCUGGACCGUAACUGACGCCGAGACACGAAAGCGUGGGUAGCAAACAGG